rnacentral:tRNA from 1 species
GGUUAUGGCCCAGUGGCAGAGUACUCACCUAGCACGUUUGAGGUACUGGGUUCAAUCCUCAGCACCA